rnacentral:rRNA from 1 species
UACGAAGGGGGCGAGCGUUGUUCGGAUUUACUGGGCGUAAAGGGCGCGCAGGCGGCUCAUUUUGUCAGGCGUGAAAGCCCCGGGCUUAACCUGGGAACUGCGUUUGAUACGGAUGGGCUAGAGUUCGGGAGAGGAGAGUGGAAUUCCCCAGUGUAGAGGUGAAAUUCGUAGAUAUUGGGAAGAACACCGGUGGCGAAGGCGGCUCUCUGGACCGAGACUGACGCUGAGGCGCGAAAGCGUGGGGAGCAAACAGG